AGCAGCCGCGGUAAUUCCAGCUCCAAUAGCGUAUAUUAAAGUUGUUGCAGUUAAAAAGCUCGUAGUUGAAUUUCGGGACUAGUACGCUGGUCAUGCCUUUGGUAUGUACUGGUGUUACUGGUUCCUACCUUCUGACGAACCGUCAUGUCAUUCAUUUGGUGUGGCGGGGAAUCAGGACUGUUACUUUGAAAAAAUUAGAGUGUUUAAAGCAGGCUCGCGCUUGAAUACAUUAGCAUGGAAUAAUGAAAUAGGACGUUUGAUCCUAUUUUGUUGGUUUCUAGGAUUGACGUAAUGAUUAAUAGGGAUAGUUGGGGGCAUUAGUAUUCAAUUGUCAGAGGUGAAAUUCUUGGAUUUAUUGAAGACUAACUACUGCGAAAGCAUUUGCCAAGGAUGUUUUCAUUAAUCAAGAACGAAAGUUAGGGGAUCGAAGACGAUCAGAUACCGUCGUAG
rnacentral:rRNA from 1 species